CCCCGUGCUCAUAGCACUGUGGACCCACCCCAUUCCAUCCCGAACUGGGUCGUGAAACGCAGUGGCGCCGAUGGUACUUGGACCGCAGGGUCCUGGGAGAGUAGGUCAGCGCGGGGG
rnacentral:rRNA from 1 species